UUUAUUUCUAUGCUGUCCCCAGUAGAGCGUAAACCUUUGGAGGAACCUGUCACAGGAAAGAGCUCCUUCUGGAACUGUUCAGCACUCGGUAGGCAGCUCGGUGACUGGCUUGAUCUACUUCUGAGCUGAAACACAGUGUACGACACGGGACUUGACGACCAGAGCUGCUUUUGGCAAGGGGUGUUGUAGCUGGCUUAAGAGAGCAGAUGGAAGCAUCUGCCUUGA
rnacentral:lncRNA from 1 species